GGUUAAGCGACUAAGCGUACACGGUGGAUGCCCUGGCAGUCAGAGGCGAUGAAGGACGUGCUAAUCUGCGAUAAGCGUCGGUGAGGUGAUAUGAACCGUUAUAACCGGCGAUUUCCGAAUGGGGAAACCCAGUGUGUUUCGACACACUAUCAUUAACUGAAUCCAUAGGUUAAUGAGGCGAACCGGGGGAACUGAAACAUCUAAGUACCCCGAGGAAAAGAAAUCAACCGAGAUUCCCCCAGUAGCGGCGAGCGAACGGGGAGGAGCCCAGAGCCUGAAUCAGUGUGUGUGUUAGUGGAAGCGUCUGGAAAGGCGCGCGAUACAGGGUGACAGCCCCGUACACAAAAAUGCACAUACUGUGAGCUCGAUGAGUAGGGCGGGACACGUGGUAUCCUGUCUGAAUAUGGGGGGACCAUCCUCCAAGGCUAAAUACUCCUGACUGACCGAUAGUGAACCAGUACCGUGAGGGAAAGGCGAAAAGAACCCCGGCGAGGGGAGUGAAAAAGAACCUGAAACCGUGUACGUACAAGCAGUGGGAGCCUCUUAAUGGGGUGACUGCGUACCUUUUGUAUAAUGGGUCAGCGACUUAUAUUCUGUAGCAAGGUUAACCGAAUAGGGGAGCCGAAGGGAAACCGAGUCUUAACUGGGCGUUAAGUUGCAGGGUAUAGACCCGAAACCCGGUGAUCUAGCCAUGGGCAGGUUGAAGGUUGGGUAACACUAACUGGAGGACCGAACCGACUAAUGUUGAAAAAUUAGCGGAUGACUUGUGGCUGGGGGUGAAAGGCCAAUCAAACCGGGAGAUAGCUGGUUCUCCCCGAAAGCUAUUUAGGUAGCGCCUCGUGAAUUCAUCUCCGGGGGUAGAGCACUGUUUCGGCAAGGGGGUCAUCCCGACUUACCAACCCGAUGCAAACUGCGAAUACCGGAGAAUGUUAUCACGGGAGACACACGGCGGGUGCUAACGUCCGUCGUGAAGAGGGAAACAACCCAGACCGCCAGCUAAGGUCCCAAAGUCAUGGUUAAGUGGGAAACGAUGUGGGAAGGCCCAGACAGCCAGGAUGUUGGCUUAGAAGCAGCCAUCAUUUAAAGAAAGCGUAAUAGCUCACUGGUCGAGUCGGCCUGCGCGGAAGAUGUAACGGGGCUAAACCAUGCACCGAAGCUGCGGCAGCGACACUAUGUGUUGUUGGGUAGGGGAGCGUUCUGUAAGCCUGUGAAGGUGUACUGUGAGGUAUGCUGGAGGUAUCAGAAGUGCGAAUGCUGACAUAAGUAACGAUAAAGCGGGUGAAAAGCCCGCUCGCCGGAAGACCAAGGGUUCCUGUCCAACGUUAAUCGGGGCAGGGUGAGUCGACCCCUAAGGCGAGGCCGAAAGGCGUAGUCGAUGGGAAACAGGUUAAUAUUCCUGUACUUGGUGUUACUGCGAAGGGGGGACGGAGAAGGCUAUGUUGGCCGGGCGACGGUUGUCCCGGUUUAAGCGUGUAGGCUGGUUUUCCAGGCAAAUCCGGAAAAUCAAGGCUGAGGCGUGAUGACGAGGCACUACGGUGCUGAAGCGACAAAUGCCCUGCUUCCAGGAAAAGCCUCUAAGCAUCAGGUAACAUCAAAUCGUACCCCAAACCGACACAGGUGGUCAGGUAGAGAAUACCAAGGCGCUUGAGAGAACUCGGGUGAAGGAACUAGGCAAAAUGGUGCCGUAACUUCGGGAGAAGGCACGCUGAUAUGUAGGUGAAGCGACUUGCUCGUGGAGCUGAAAUCAGUCGAAGAUACCAGCUGGCUGCAACUGUUUAUUAAAAACACAGCACUGUGCAAACACGAAAGUGGACGUAUACGGUGUGACGCCUGCCCGGUGCCGGAAGGUUAAUUGAUGGGGUUAGCGGUAACGCGAAGCUCUUGAUCGAAGCCCCGGUAAACGGCGGCCGUAACUAUAACGGUCCUAAGGUAGCGAAAUUCCUUGUCGGGUAAGUUCCGACCUGCACGAAUGGCGUAAUGAUGGCCAGGCUGUCUCCACCCGAGACUCAGUGAAAUUGAACUCGCUGUGAAGAUGCAGUGUACCCGCGGCAAGACGGAAAGACCCCGUGAACCUUUACUAUAGCUUGACACUGAACAUUGAGCCUUGAUGUGUAGGAUAGGUGGGAGGCUUUGAAGUGUGGACGCCAGUCUGCAUGGAGCCGACCUUGAAAUACCACCCUUUAAUGUUUGAUGUUCUAACGUGGGCCCCUUACCGGGGUUGCAGACAGUGUCUGGUGGGUAGUUUGACUGGGGCGGUCUCCUCCUAAAGAGUAACGGAGGAGCACGAAGGUUGGCUAAUCCUGGUCGGACAUCAGGAGGUUAGUGCAAUGGCAUAAGCCAGCUUGACUGCGAGCGUGACGGCGCGAGCAGGUGCGAAAGCAGGUCAUAGUGAUCCGGUGGUUCUGAAUGGAAGGGCCAUCGCUCAACGGAUAAAAGGUACUCCGGGGAUAACAGGCUGAUACCGCCCAAGAGUUCAUAUCGACGGCGGUGUUUGGCACCUCGAUGUCGGCUCAUCACAUCCUGGGGCUGAAGUAGGUCCCAAGGGUAUGGCUGUUCGCCAUUUAAAGUGGUACGCGAGCUGGGUUUAGAACGUCGUGAGACAGUUCGGUCCCUAUCUGCCGUGGGCGCUGGAGAACUGAGGGGGGCUGCUCCUAGUACGAGAGGACCGGAGUGGACGCAUCACUGGUGUUCGGGUUGUCAUGCCAAUGGCACUGCCCGGUAGCUAAAUGCGGAAGAGAUAAGUGCUGAAAGCAUCUAAGCACGAAACUUGCCCCGAGAUGAGUUCUCCCUGACUCCUUGAGAGUCCUGAAGGAACGUUGAAGACGACGACGUUGAUAGGCCGGGUGUGUAAGCGCAGCGAUGCGUUGAGCUAACCGGUACUAAUGAACCGUGAGGCUUAACCUU
rnacentral:rRNA from 1 species